UAGGGUGGUUAUUGCGGCGGGGCUCACCUCUUCCCAUUUCGAACAGAGAAGUUAAGCCCGUUAGCGCAGAUGGUACUGCUAUUAGUGGGAGAGUAUGUCGUUGCCCUUU
rnacentral:rRNA from 1 species